rnacentral:lncRNA from 1 species
UUGUGAGUCUCAGAGUACUCCUCCAUGAGUUGUAUGGAACAAGUUGAAGUGUUUGAAGUCCUUUUAAUCCUCUUAUUAUUUGUUGCAUUUGUUUUGGGCUUGUUGCGUUUUGUGCGUUUGUUUCCCAUUGUAGCUGGAGAAUUUUGUUUUAUUUAAUUGUUUGUGCUUGAUUGAUCCAUGUAGAAUGCAAUUCUAAUGUCAAUGGAUUUUUAAAGUUGUAAAGGUUUUGGAAACUGGAGUAACUAGCUUGUAAGUAAAGUAAGUAAUGAUGAUUUUGUAUGCUCAAUGUACUUCAAAAAAGGAACUUUCGGUGUCAUGCUAAAGUUGUAAUAAAUGUCUGAAUUAGUCUUUUUAUUUUAAAAAUAAUUGUAAGUUACUUUUUAAUGUAAUUAAAUAAAAGAUUUUUGCAUUGAGGAUAACCGAGGUCGAGCCCAAAAACAAUGGCAAUGAUGAAUCUUCAGAGGAGAGUGAAAAUGACUCUGAUGAUCUUGUUCCUUUGUAUUGGGAGAAAACUAUUAUAUAUGCUUUAAAGGCAAAA